rnacentral:rRNA from 1 species
GUUGAAAAGCUCGUAGUUGGGUUUCUGCGGAGGAAGCGCGGUCCGCACUUGGUGCGUGUAUCUGGUCUACCUACGCAUCUUCCAGUGAAACGCUACUGCGCUUUAUUGCGUGGCGCGGCAAUCUGGACUUUUACUUUGAGGAAAUUGGAGUGUUUACAGCGAGCGAUUGGUUUGAACAUAUUAGCAUGGAAUAAUAACCUAGAACCUUGGUUCUAUUUUGUUGGUUUCUAGACUAGGGUAAUGAUCAAUAGGGAU